CCUGAGCCGAGCACACAUAUAUCAGAUCAGUGACAAUAUCCUGAAGAUGAAUGCAAGCUUGGAUGCAAUGCAUUUGUAAACUUGUAUCGUGAACACGUCGGUAUAAGGGAAUAGAAUGCUGUAGGUGACAUGAUGCAGGUUGGUGUAUGAGCGAAGCUGUUCCCCAGAAUUGCCAGAAACAAUGUAUUUUGGUGUAUCACAGAAGUUGUUCCAGAGUAAUAAUUGCCUUGCACCAAACAAGUUCUGUUAUUACAAAAGUGAAUACAAGAUGAUAAAUAGAGCUAAAAGUUUUGGCUGCCAGAUCAAUCCAAAAGAAAAUAGACGAACAUGCUAGAUAGAAAAUGUCUAAAUCUACAGAAGAGUUUCUUAGUUUGCUGGUUAGUUUAAAAAAAAAUGAAAGAGUUAGUCAUUCCAGGUCUACUAUCAAACUCAAUAGAAUACAUUUUGAAGUUUACAAA